CUUACCUUCUGUGCAUCCACUUCUGCUUUCCCUACCAUUUCUGCUUCCCCUACCACUUCCGCUUCUAAGGAACUUUCACUUCCGCUUCCAAGGAACGUUUGUUUGCUGCGCAAAGCUAAGCCUUGCCAUGCAAGGCUGUUUUAUUGGCUGAGAGUGUCAGUUGAGUGCACCACUCAGCUUGGCUGAGUGCAGUAGCUCCCAC